AAAGCUGAUCAAGUUGGUAAACGGCAAGCAGCAUUACUUAUACCGAGGGUUUUCCUACUGCCCUGAAAGGACCAGGCCCGGGCGUUGGAGGUGUACCCAAGGAUGCAGAGCAUACCUAAAAGUGUCGGAAGGGAAGCUGAAGAGGGCAUACCACGCACAUAAACACCCGCCUCCGAAGUACAUCAAAUUACAAGAUGGCUUUUACAGGAAAAUAAAAAGACAACGGAAGAACCUUUAACCAGAGUAAAUACAAAUGAAUCAUCUUCGAAAGUCAUUACUGAUGUCAUUAAGUCAUUUUCUUAGCACCGAACCAAAAGAACAGACUAGUAAUAACGAACAGAAAAAUAAACAUAAGAAACAAAAGAAGAACAGAAGGGUCGGAUCUGUAUCAUACAAAAUAAAAAAUAAAGAUCUUAAAGAUAAAGGCAAAGAAUAUGUUACAAAAAAAGGAAAAGUGAUCGCAGAAAAAACAAUUAGAGAAAAUCCUUGUGCACCUGGAAAAUGUCCAAGGGGUUGUUAUGAGAUAACUGAAGAGCAAAGGAGGACCAUUUUUAAUUUAUACUGGAGUCUCGAUGUGCACCGUCGUUCUGAUUUUUUGAUUCGCUGCGCUAAAAUUGGAUCUAUAAAGAGAAAGAGACAGAAAGACUCUGACAAAAGGAAAUUCACAGUAGAUUACUAUAUCAAUGUAGGUAAAGAUCAUAAACAAGUUUGCCAGCAAUUUCUUCUCUCUACUUUGGAUGUAACUCAAGGACAUAUACAAUACACUCUAAGAAAUGCAAAAGAAGUGUUCAAUAAACGGAGAAAUACUUACAGAAAAUAGGAUAUAAUAGGUGUUUUAUUAUUUUUCAAAUCAAUUGUAUUGAAUUUCGUACAAACAAAGAAUAAUAAAUAUAACUCUUGAAGUAAAUAUAAUUACUUGUGAAAUCU